rnacentral:misc_RNA from 1 species
AAGUCGUAACAAGGUUUCCGUAGGUGAACCUGCGGAAGGAUCAUUAACGUGAUUGUCUGGUGCAGCUGGUGCGCGUGCAAGCGCGCGUCAGCUCGCCCUGGCAAGCCGACCUUGUGCUGCGUAUGCCGUGUGUGUUGCUAUGUGUGCUGCACAUCGCCCUUGCGGGGGAUGGGCGCACACAUGCGCAUGCCUUUUUUUGUAAACACCGUUAACACCAUACAUUCUGAUUAUCUGCGUGUGCCUGUGCACACGGUAACAUCGAAAACUGCCAGCAAUGGAUCACUCGGUUCUC